AGAAAAUCCGAUCAAAAUGGAGAGAUAACUAGAGAAAUUUUGAGACUCUACCUCUGGUGGAUUUUUUGAUCUAUUCGGAUUUUAGUGGCAUGGUUUCUCCAGAUAAACUACCAGCUCCCCCAAUUUCUACGAACCAGUUGAGCUAUGCACCAUCACUGCAGAAGAUUUUCCAAAUCUGAUGAAGUUCGAUCAAUGUAUCAUUGAUUCCUUCCACUAGGUCUAUGCUGAAGAUGACACAUGAUGAGAUAGAAUCGCUCCACCUUCUUCAAUCCAACUUGAAGAUGAGACUAUGUUGCAAGCUGGAUAUCUUAUGUUGACUGAUAGUGCAAAAUAUAAACCAAUUCUACACACUGUUAUGUUUAGCUCCUACUCCCUAAUCUUGGUCUCCUUAUGCUACAGUGAUGAAUCAUGUGCUAAAUGACUAAAUGAAAACUCAUCAUCUAAAGAUGGUCUUUAACAAGGAGCUUCGGCAAGCGAAUCCAAGUUGAUGGUUGUUUCCUCGGUCAAAAGAAUCCAUCUAGUAAGAGCUCUCAAGAUCUUUGGAUCUCAUCCAAUGGAGGAAUCACAAGUAUAGGCACAAAGAAUCAACUCCUAAACAUCAUCUUUCAAAUGUAAGGAAAAUAGAGUUACCCCAUUUGCAACUCAGAAUUAUUCAUCCUUCAUCUCAAAUGCUAAAGAACACCUUUGGAAUGCACGGAUGAAAGGCAAAUGUAACUUGAAUCGUCACUAAUUCUAUAUACUUGGAGAA